rnacentral:rRNA from 1 species
CUCAGGAUGAACGCUAGCGGCAGGCCUAAUACAUGCAAGUCGAGGGGUAACAUGAUCUGCUUGCAGUUUGAUGACGACCGGCGCACGGGUGCGUAACGCGUAUAUAACUUGCCUCAUACUGGAGAAUAGCCCGGAGAAAUUCGGAUUAAUGCUCCAUAGUAUUAUAAAGUAGCAUUGCUUAAUAAUUAAAGAUUUAUCGGUAUGAGAUAGAUAUGCGUCCCAUUAGCUAGUUGGUGCAGGUAACGGCUCACCAAGGCGACGAUGGGUAGGGGUUCUGAGAGGAAGGUCCCCCACACUGGCACUGAGAUACGGGCCAGACUCCUACGGGAGGCAGCAGUAGGGAAUAUUGGUCAAUGGAGGCAACUCUGAACCAGCCAUGCCGCGUGAAGCGAUGAAGGCCUUCGGGUCGUAAAGUUCUUUUGUAUGGGAAGAAACCC